GACGUAGGGGGCCAGCGUUGUUCGGAAUUACUGGGUGUAAAGGGUUCGUAGGCGGUGCGGCAAGUUGGGAGUGAAAUCUCUGGGCUUAACCCAGAGGCUGCUUCCAAAACUGCUGUGCUUGAGUGUGGGAGAGGCGCGUGGAAUUGCAGGUGUAGCGGUGAAAUGCGUAGAUAUCUGCAGGAACACCCGUGGCGAAAGCGGCGCGCUGGACCACUACUGACGCUGAGACGCGAAAGCGUGGGGAGCAAACAGG
rnacentral:rRNA from 1 species